rnacentral:ribozyme from 1 species
UGCCCAGCAACUCCUAUCCCUACCUCCUCGUGGUACUGGCCGGGGUACGAGUAACCUUGGGGAAGAUCGGGUAACCAACCCCCGGUGGGAACUUUGGUCGUAUGCUGACAGGGAAGU